rnacentral:rRNA from 1 species
UGGGGAAUAUUGCACAAUGGGCGCAAGCCUGAUGCAGCAACGCCGCGUGAACGAUGAAGGUCUUCGGAUCGUAAAGUUCUGUUGCAGGGGAAGAUAAUGACGGUAUCAUAGGAGGAAGCCCUGGCUAAAUAAGUGCCAGCAGCCGCGGUAAUACGUAUGGGGCGAGCGUUGUCCGGAAUUAUUGGGCGUAAAGGGUACGUAGGCGGUUUUUUAAGUCAGGUGUCAAAGCGUGGAGCUUAACUCCAUUAAGCACUUGAAACUGAAAGACUUGAGUGAAGGAGAGGAAAGUGGAAUUCCUAGUGUAGCGGUGAAAUGCGUAGAUAUUAGGAGGAAUACCGGUGGCGAAGGCGACUUUCUGGACUUUUACUGACGCUCAGGUACGAAAGCGUGGGGAGCAAACAGG